UACGUAGGUGGCAAGCGUUAUCCGGAUUUAUUGGGCGUAAAGGGAACGCAGGCGGAGAGACAAGUCAGAUGUGAAAUCCACGGGCUCAACCCGUGAACUGCAUUUGAAACUGUUUCCCUUGAGUGUCGGAGAGGUAAUCGGAAUUCCUUGUGUAGCGGUGAAAUGCGUAGAUAUAAGGAAGAACACCAGUGGCGAAGGCGGAUUACUGGACGAUAACUGACGGUGAGGCGCGAAAGCGUGGGGAGCAAACAGG
rnacentral:rRNA from 1 species